rnacentral:rRNA from 1 species
ACUCCUGCGGGAGGCAGCAGUGGGGAAUAUUGCACAAUGGGCGCAAGCCUGAUGCAGCGACGCCGCGUGGGGGAUGAAGGCCUUCGGGUUGUAAACUCCCUUCGCUAGGGACGAAGCUUUUUUGUGACGGUACCUAGAUAAGAAGCACCGGCUAACUACGUGCCAGCAGCCGCGGUAAUACGUAGGGUGCGAGCGUUGUCCGGAAUUACUGGGCGUAAAGGGCUCGUAGGUGGUUUGUCGCGUCGUCUGUGAAAUUCUGGGGCUUAACUCCGGGCGUGCAGGCGAUACGGGCAUAACUUGAGUGCUGUAGGGGUAACUGGAAUUCCUGGUGUAGCGGUGAAAUGCGCAGAUAUCAGGAGGAACACCGAUGGCGAAGGCAGGUUACUGGGCAGUUACUGACGCUGAGGAGCGAAAGCAUGGGUAGCGAACAGGAUUAGAUACCCUGGUAGUCCCAUG